rnacentral:rRNA from 1 species
UGGGGAAUUUUGGACAAUGGGCGCAAGCCUGAUCCAGCAAUGCCGCGUGCAGGAUGAAGGCCUUCGGGUUGUAAACUGCUUUUGUACGGAACGAAACGGCUCUGGUUAAUACCUGGGGCUAAUGACGGUACCGUAAGAAUAAGCACCGGCUAACUACGUGCCAGCAGCCGCGGUAAUACGUAGGGUGCGAGCGUUAAUCGGAAUUACUGGGCGUAAAGCGUGCGCAGGCGGUUAUAUAAGACAGAUGUGAAAUCCCGGGGCUCAACCUGGGAACUGCAUUUGUGACUGUAUAGCUAGAGUACGGCAGAGGGGGAUGGAAUUCCGCGUGUAGCAGUGAAAUGCGUAGAUAUGCGGAGGAACACCGAUGGCGAAGGCAAUCCCCUGGACCUGUACUGACGCUCAUGCACGAAAGCGUGGGGAGCAAACA